AGUGCAUCUUUUCUCCGAGUCCACAGUGCCUGUCGCCCUUGAAGGCUAUGGCCGUCGGACCGUCAGGGUUUACCUGGAAACAGGUAGGCCUCCCAAUGCGGAAAGGAGAUCAAAGCAGCCGACA
rnacentral:ncRNA from 2 species